rnacentral:rRNA from 1 species
UACGUAGGGUGCGAGCGUUGUCCGGAAUUAUUGGGCGUAAAGAGCUCGUAGGCGGUCUGUCGCGUCGAUCGUGAAAACUUGGGGCUUAACCCUGAGCUUGCGGUCGAUACGGGCAUGACUGGAGUUCGGCAGGGGAGACUGGAAUUCCUGGUGUAGCGGUGAAAUUCGUAGAUAUUGGGAAGAACACCGGUGGCGAAGGCGGCUCUCUGGACCGAUACUGACGCUGAGGCGCGAAAGCGUGGGGAGCAAACAGG